rnacentral:rRNA from 1 species
UGGGGAAUAUUGCACAAUGGGCGAAAGCCUGAUGCAGCAACGCCGCGUGAGUGAUGAAGGCCUUCGGGUUGUAAAGCUCUGUCUUCUGGGACGAUAAUGACGGUACCAGAGGAGGAAGCCACGGCUAACUACGUGCCAGCAGCCGCGGUAAUACGUAGGUGGCAAGCGUUGUCCGGAUUUACUGGGCGUAAAGGAUGCGUAGGCGGAUACUUAAGUCAGAUGUGAAAAUCCCGAGCUUAACUUGGGAACUGCAUUUGAAACUGGGUAUCUAGAGUGUGGGAGAGGAAAGUGGAAUUCCUAGUGUAGCGGUGAAAUGCGUAGAGAUUAGGAAGAACACCAGUGGCGAAGGCGACUUUCUGGACCAUAACUGACGCUGAGGCAUGAAAGCGUGGGGAGCAAACAGG